rnacentral:lncRNA from 1 species
CUUAAUUGGAUUGAAGGAUGCAAAGUAUUGCUCCUGGAUGUGUCUGUGAGGGUGUUGCCAAAGGAGAUUAACAUGUGGGUCAGUGGACUGGGAGAGGCAGACCCACCCUCAAUCUGAGUGGGCACCAUCUAAUCAGCUGCCAGCCAGCCAGGACAAAAGCAGGCAGAGGAACAUGGAAGGACUGGACUUACUGAGUCUUCUGGCCUCCAUCUUUCUCCAGUUCUGGAUGCUUCCUGCCCUCGAACAUCAGACUCCACAUUCUUCAGCUCUUUGACUCUUGAACAUACACCAGUGAUUUUCCAGGGACUCUCAGGCCUUUGGCCACAGACUGAAGGCUGCUCUGUCGGCUUCCCUACUUUUGAGGUUUUGGGACUCACACUGGCUUCCUUGCUCUUCAGCUUGUAGAUGGCCUAUUGAGGGACUUCGCCUUGUAAUCAGAAGCAUUACCUGCCCCAGAGGCUACCUGCCACUCAGUGAAGAUCAUAUGCCUAAGUCAUGACAUCAACAUCAAACUCUCUUCAAAUCUGGGAGAAAGGCUCAGCUCUUACAACCAGGACAAGAAGAAAUGACACCAGUAGAGAGAUCAUUUGGUGAGCAGCAGGGUUGAAAGAGCCUCAAACCAUGGAGAGAGAGCCUGGAUCUCGAGUAGAAAGGCUUCUGGCACUGAAGAAGUCAAACAGGAUCCCUGAGAGGGAAAAAGCCAGGAGCUUGGGGAAUUAUCUUCACCAAGGUCUGUCUAGAGAUGUGGUUGGCAGAUUUAUGACCCCCAAAGAUGUCUACAUCCUAAACCCAGGAAUCUGUUGCUAAGACUGAGUAAAACAAGAAAAGCAAUGGGGAACCUCACUCACAUCCAUGCUUCCUUGUCUCAUCUGUAUGUAUGAUUUUUGCACAACUUAUUUGAUACUUUGGACAUAAAGCAAGGUCUAGAAGUUUGGCUCAGAGUACCUACAUGGGACCUAUCCAUCACAGCAGCCUAAGUGUAGUUAGCUUUAUUCCACAGUAACGGGAUUCCAAGGAAUUUUCAAAACAAUCCUAGCACCUAUGGGGCAUCGUGGUCAUCCAAGCCCUAAGAAGGCUGCUGUCCAUCCAGUCAAGGCUAUCGGAGGGUGUCUGAGGUGUCCUCUCCCUCCUUAUCUGCACCCCUUCCCCUUCCUGCCUUCUCAGCCAGCAGCAGCAUUGCUUCAUUGAGGAAACCUGCACAACACACAAGCAACUAAGAGGCUUCUGGAUUUCAAAAGCCUGAGUUUUGAAGAUCUCAGCCUCCAGCAUUUAUGUCAUAAACAAAAUAUUUGGACCAUUGAUGGAGAGACUUUUACCCUCAGGCUAGAUUAAGAUUCACUAAUCAAGAGAAAGAAAAGAAGCAAAUCGGACCUGAAGAAGGUAGCUGAACCUUGAAGAGGGGAAUAACAGAAACUCAAGGUCAGGUGGAAAAAUCCAAGAGUACUUUACUGAGUUGUGAUGAGGAGACUCAUAGAAGCUUCACAUUUCUCUGACUGGGGCCAACAGGUCCUCCUCCCACACUCUGGACAGCCAGAUUCCUAUUUGGCAUUAAUCUGUGUGUUCCACAGUCCGCUUCUACAGCCUCAGGAAACCUCCCGUCAACACUGGGACCUCGGUAUGGGGCAAAUUUCAGGAGGAAAAGAAUAAAAGGAAUAAAAGUUAAGUCCUCCAGUAUUUUUUGGCAGAAAGGCAGGCAGUUUUCCUGUCAGAUACCAUGGAGAGUGAAUACUUUGAAUAUUUUCCUUUGGAUAUUGUGAGCAAUUUUCAACAGCAAUUAUUUAAAAUAUUUAUGAAAAAAACUGGAUAAGUCUGUCAUCUGAAAAACAUGUAGGUAGGUAUCAAAAUGUCUGUUUCUGGAGAUUGAGUCUCAUACCAGAAAAAUCCCCCAAAACAAUUGGAUGGCCUGCAUCAAAGCUAUUUAAAAAAUCCAGAUAGAAAGUGCUCCAGGAAUAUCUAAGUAAGGAGAAUAGGAGAAGAGCCAAGAGAGGAGGAGAAAGGGAAAAUGAGGAAGAAGUAGAAGGAGAAAGAAAGAGAAAGACCUAGAGAGACAGGGAGACGUAGUUGGCCACACACAGCAAGAGACCAGUGAUGACAGUGAGGCAGACAUUGGGGCCAUGGGGAGUUGUGUGAGCUACAGAAUGCCUGGCUCUGCUCUGAACAAGACCUGGAGGUCUUUACGUUUCUAACUGCCCGGGAGGGUGAAUGUCAACAGACUUUUGCAGAAGAACAAUGAGCUGAGAGUGAGUCUGAAUCAUUUGCCUUCCAUGUGUCAUCCAAUCACAGCUGCUAACACCUGCAGUGGCUCUGCAACCAUGAGCUGGGAAUAAUACAAAGUCAUGUUCUCACCAUACUUGCCCAGAGGACCUGGGCCUGGAUGGAAGAGCUUCAUUGUAGGAGAAGGUUAUUGACAGAUGAGAAGUAUUUAUCCAAUAUGUCUUUGUUCUAUGACUCUUAUCAGCCCAGCUAGAGGGAAGCCUUGAACAACCAGUCUCCUGUUCCUGGGCUCAUAUCUUUUUCUAAGCAAUAUGGCCUUCCCAGUGACAGCAUCAUCAUCCUUCUUCAUCACCACCACUAUCAUCAUCCUCAUCACCAUCAUUAUCCCCAUCAUCAGAGCAGCUACUCGUUAUUGAGCAUUUACUAUGUGCUGGAUAUAUACAUAUAUAUAUAUAUAAUCUGGAAAAUAACUGUGUGAGGGAGGCCCUAUAUACAUCCCAGUUUUGCAGUUUUGCAUAACGCAGGCUCAAAAAGUUAAGUAACUUUCCCAAGAACAAACAGCUGCUAUAUCAGAAGCAAGGCUCAUAUCCAUAGCUUUUCUAGUCCAAAGACUCUAGAACAAGCUAAAUAAAAUGAACAAAUGGGGUCUUCUAUAUCAGUUUGUCCAUGACUCUCCACCACUGCUGCACCCCACCUAUUUCAGAUCCAGGGACAUUGCCAAGUGACAAUGGGGGCUCCUUCCCUAAGAGAUUGAUUGGCUUAUAGAAAAGUUUGAAUGAAUCCAAUUCUAUUGUAUAUGAAUGUUCUUCACAUUAGGAGUCCAUGUACUUUCUCAUCCCCUAAUUUACCUGUACCCUCAUCCAUUUGGCAAAUAGUUAUGGAGUGUCUAUUUUGUGUCUGACACUAUUUUAGGUGUUAAGAAUAGGGUGUGAACAAAACAUACCAAGCUUAUACUUUAGAGAAGGGAGAUCAAUAUGUAAUAUGAAAACAGAAAUAAUUCUAUGAAGAACAAAAAAUGUAAGAGUAUAGAAAGCAAUGGGAGGUGGUGAGGGUGAGCGACAGCUCUCUGAUGAACAGAAGCCUGAACACAGUGAGGGCUGAGCUAUGAGUGUAUGUGAGAGAGGUUCAGUGCUGGCUUAAAGAAGAGCAAGUGCAAAGCCCCCAGCCUAACAAGAGCAUCCCUGGUGUGCUGCAGGAACAGUGAGGGCACCAAUAUUGCUGGUGAAAAGAUGAAGUCAAAGCAGGCACCAGAUAAUUUAAGACUUUGGAGGGUCUGAUGCGGAUUUGGAAUUUUAGUUUGCCAUAUCAAGUUAUUGGAUAAGAGAGCCAUGUUUAGAUUUACAUAUGACAACAAUCUCCCUGGCUCCAGCAAGAAUGCUGUGUAAAGGACUCACUCUGGAGACUAAACUGUAUGUGAAAUUUAGGACUCCUCUGGCCACGACUGGGUAACAAGCCAUGGAGACUUGGAGUAGAUGGUGGUAGAGGAUAGGGGAGCAGUUGUCAAACUCUGGAAAUCCUCUGAUCAGUUGGAUGUGCAGAGUGAGAGAAAAGAGAAAAAUGAAGGAUUACUUCCAGUGAGGCAUGAGACAGCCAUAGAGUGCAAUAUCCCAGAAACCAGGGGAAGAUAGGCAUCAAGGAAGGAGGCACUGAAACUUUCUCAGUGCUGUUAAAAGCUGAGGCCUAGUCCCUUUGCCCAGCUGCUGAAAUCCUAGCUAAGCAAUAGGAGCCAUGUGACAGGCUAAGUGAGAAAUGGAGGAGUUUCUGCGACCAGGACGUCCUGACAUCAUGUCUUUGAGCUUGACUGAAAAAAAUGUCAAUGCUGAGAGACAUCAAGGCCAUCAAUAGCCCAUAACAAAAUUCUCAAGGCCUUGGAUAACUCUCAGGGGAUACACUCCUCCCAGAGAAAAAAGUAUGGCUGUAUGCCUCAUGACUAGUGGGACAUCACCACAGAUCCAGUGGUCAGAAUGGACCACUGAAUCUAUUUUCACUCCAAGGUGCUUUGAGUGUCAGAAUACAAGAAAAUCUUGUUGUUAUUUAGAAAUACUGUUGUUUAUUAAGAGGCUCACAUGCAGUUGGAAAAGUGGGCCAAGUCUAAAAUCUAGAACACACUGCCUGGUCAUGAGCCCAGCCCCAGGUGGGUCACCUGGGCUCUGCAUGUUUCUGGGCAGAGUUAACCAACUUUAGCAUAGAUGGCUAGGACCCACAACUGGCCAUAAUAUGAUACGGAUAACUGUAUAUUCCUGUUCCUGAUUUUAGCUUUUCCUUGAGUAAGUUUCUUGGUUCUAAACUAACCAGAGCAUGACAUUCAAUGGAAAUUCUCAAGAAUACAAUUCUGCUCAAGAUGAUCUCAUUUCAAAAUAUUAUCACCACUUGCAGAGAGUUGAUGGGUGGGAGAGAGUGGGGAGCUUGCUUUAUUAGAAACUAGACCUGACCCACCUUGAACUAUGACAAGUGAAGCCUGGCUGAGUGUCUGUCAAUUGGAGUCCAACCAAUCCCUGUGCUGCAGAGCCCCUAUCUGGCAGACACUGUCAGCCUCAUAGGACAUCUAAGAUGUGUCUCUUCCUACAACACAGAGGCCAGCUGCCUUACUUUCUGUCUUCUGUCUCAUAAAGCUAUUUUUGUUCUCAGCUGGUAGAACUCAGUGACUUUCAGUUUCCCUAAAAAUUCCACUCACACAAAAGAAUUUGUAAACUAGAUGGAUUUGCCUGAAGCUGUCCUGGAGGAGGGAAGAGGUUUUUAUCAUAUACCUUACACCAAAGAGCUUUGAAAGCUCUCCUGGAUAUUUCUGUUUUCCCAAGUUUUUGACUUCCUCUAACUUUAAAUUCACACCCUGCUGCCUCCACUCCACCCCAGCUACCCUUUCCCAGACCCCAGGCUCCUAUCUCUUCCUCGAUCCCAUCUUAUCUUAUACAUAACAGCUUAGCAGCCAUCUCUUUUUAGGUAAUUUGAACAUGUUCUUGGAGAGUUCAACCCCCAAAUCAAAAGAUGUCCUUUUAUCCCAUUAUAACCCCAAACUAUUUUGCUGAUGUUUUCUUCCAUUUCUGAGUCUUUGUGCUCACCAAUAUUCAGACCUAUGUUCUGAACAACAUCAUCUUUAUCUUUUCCCAGAAUCCUGCCCUUUGAGGCAAUCAAUAUCUCUGACAAUUGUUAAGGCUAUUUGGAGUGCAAUCUUGCACAAUAAUAAAAACAGCCACUAUGCAUUGAGCAUUCGCUGUGUGCUAGGCACUCUGCUAAUCACUUGUACUAUAUCAUGUUUUGUAAUCUGCAUAACAGCUGUAGGAAUGUAGCUAUUAUCACUCCACUCUGUAGCUGAAGGAGCUGGGGUCAUAUCGGUAAUAAGACACAGAGCCUACUGUGGCCUAAGCGUGCUGUUACUGGAAAGAUAAGAAUCAAAGGUACAUGCCCUUCUGUCCAGAAGAGUCCUCUCACCCCUAGGAGGCCAGGAAACAUCACUCCCUGCCCUGAUAUUCAGGGAACAGGAAAAAGGCAGGAAAGAGGCCUUUGCUCCUGGGUUCUAUGUAGUGAAGCAAAUUUCUUAUUUUUUGAGCCAGGUUGCUUUCUUUUUUAAUCAUAGACUAGGGGUACUGUGUGUUCCAUGAACAAUCAUCUUACUGACAUGUUAUUCUGAAGCUUGACUUCAUUCACCGUGACACAUGCUGGUUAUGAAAUACGCAACGGAAUAGAGUUGUAAUGAAGUGAGGCUGGGGAAGGAUUAAAUUAGAAUCUGAACUAAUGCCAGCUAAGAGACCCUACCUCCACUUUAUUAUUAUUAUUGUGUUUAAUAAACAAUCAUUCAUGCUCCGAGGAAAGGGAAACAAUCAGAAACCCAGCAGGGGAGCCAUAAAAUAAAUGUUUAAACCUUGAAUAAAAACAUGUUUGUUCAAACCCAGAGCCGGUCUCUUUUUAUUCAAAAUGAAUGCAGUGAGUUCUCCAACACCUAGAGGUGUUGAGAGGCAUGCAAGUGGAAUUUCAGUUGCAGGGAGGGCUCACCUUUCCCAUCCUCC